GCCCACAGCUAUGAAGCUCAUCACCUGCAGCACUGGUCCUGGCGUUGGUGCUGGUGAGCAGCCCCGUAGAGGCUAUUAGGCUGAAGCCGGGGAGCUGCCCGAAGCUGCUGAUCAUCAUUCGUCCUCUGAGUGGAAUACCGCGGUGCUACCACGACUACCAAUGUCGCCAUCACCUGAAGUGCUGCAAGGGCGUGUGCCGCGUGCCCUGCCUGCCCGCUUGCCGUUUCCCCCGGACGUGCACCAUCAUCAACUACAAGCUCUUCCCACAUGUUCCAUCCAGGUGGAUUCUCAAAUGCCUCUAAAGACGCCGCCUGAGGACGAGCCGUCGGCCAGCGGCUGUGCCGUCCCCGUCUCGGGGUCGGCAGAAACGCGCUAACAUUCGCAAGUUUGUCGUACUGUGGGAAAAGGGCCUCAUGUGUUGCCGUCGGCGGGGAUAUCUUGGUGUAACGGCACUGAUCAAAUGAUUCCCAUUUGGACUCGAAAUCUGGGUAAAGGUGAACAAUUGUUUCACCCGUUCGUGUGCUUGGUUUUUGUGCAGACGCAAGAAAUUGGACGUAAAUAUAUGAAACUGGAGACA